rnacentral:tRNA from 1 species
GCCCUGGUGGCUCAACAGUUAAGCAUUCGGCUGCUAACCGAAAGGUUGGCGGUUAGAAUCCACUCAUUAGCU